GAUGAAGAACGUAGCGAAAUGCGAUAAGUAAUGUGAAUUGCAGAAUUCAGUGAAUCAUCGAAUCUUUGAACGCACAUUGCGCCCGUCAGUAUUCUGGCGGGCAUGCCUGUUCGAGCGUCAUUACGCCCCUCAAGUCCCCUGUGGACUUGGUGUUGGGGAUCGGCGAGGCUGGUUUUCCAGCACAGCCGUCCCUUAAAUUAAUUGGCGGUCUCGCCGUGCCCCUCCUCUGCGCAGUAGUAAAACACUCGCAACAGGAGCCCGGCGCGGUCCACUGCCGUAAAACCCCCCAACUUUUUAUAGUUGACCUCGAAUCAGGUAGGACUACCCGCUGAACUUAAGCAUAUCAAUAAGCGGAGGA
rnacentral:misc_RNA from 1 species